AGGUUGGCUAAUCCUGGUCGGACAUCAGGAGGUUAGUGCAAUGGCAUAAGCCAGCUUGACUGCGAGCGUGACGGCGCGAGCAGGUGCGAAAGCAGGUCAUAGUGAUCCGGUGGUUCUGAAUGGAAGGGCCAUCGCUCAACGGAUAAAAGGUACUCCGGGGAUAACAGGCUGAUACCGCCCAAGAGUUCAUAUCGACGGCGGUGUUUGGCACCUCGAUGUCGGCUCAUCACAUCCUGGGGCUGAAGUAGGUCCCAAGGGUAUGGCUGUUCGCCAUUUAAAGUGGUACGCGAGCUGGGUUUAGAACGUCGUGAGACAGUUCGGUCCCUAUCUGCCGUGGGCGCUGGAGAACUGAGGGGGGCUGCUCCUAGUACGAGAGGACCGGAGUGGACGCAUCACUGGUGUUCGGGUUGUCAUGCCAAUGGCACUGCCCGGUAGCUAAAUGCGGAAGAGAUAAGUGCUGAAAGCAUCUAAGCACGAAACUUGCCCCGAGAUGAGUUCUCCCUGACUCCUUGAGAGUCCUGAAGGAACGUUGAAGACGACGACGUUGAUAGGCCGGGUGUGUAAGCGCAGCGAUGCGUUGAGCUAACCGGUACUAAUGAACCGUGAGGCUUAACCUU
rnacentral:rRNA from 1 species